UACGUAGGGCGCAAGCGUUAUCCGGAAUUAUUGGGCGUAAAGAGCUCGUAGGCGGUUGUCGCGUCUGCCGUGAAAGUCCGGGGCUCAACUCCGGAUCUGCGGUGGGUACGGGCAGACUAGAGUGAUGUAGGGGAGACUGGAAUUCCUGGUGUAGCGGUGAAAUGCGCAGAUAUCAGGAGGAACACCGAUGGCGAAGGCAGGUCUCUGGGCAUUAACUGACGCUGGAGGAGCGAAAGCAUGGGGAGCGAACAGG
rnacentral:rRNA from 1 species